rnacentral:rRNA from 1 species
GACGAACGCUGGCGGCGUGCCUAACACAUGCAAGUCGAACGGAGUUGAAAGGAGCUUGCUUUUUUCAACUCAGUGGCGGACGGGUGAGUAACGCGUGAGUAACCUGCCUUUCAGAGGGGGAUAACGUUCUGAAAAGAACGCUAAUACCGCAUAAGAUUGUAGUUUCGCAUGGGACAGCAAUCAAAGGAGCAAUCCGCUGAAAGAUGGACUCGCGUCCGAUUAGAUAGUUGGCGGGGUAACGGCCCACCAAGUCGACGAUCGGUAGCCGGACUGAGAGGUUGAUCGGCCACAUUGGGACUGAGACACGGCCCAGACUCCUACGGGAGGCAGCAGUGAGGGAUAUUGGGCAAUGGGGGAAACCCUGACCCAGCAACGCCGCGUGAGGGAUGACGGUUUUCGGAUUGUAAACCUCUGUCCUCUGUGAAGAUAGUGACGGUAGCAGAGGAGGAAGCUCCGGCUAACUACGUGCCAGCAGCCGCGGUAAUACGUAGGGAGCAAGCGUUGUCCGGAUUUACUGGGUGUAAAGGGUGCGUAGGCGGAUUGGCAAGUUGGGAGUGAAAUCUAUGGGCUCAACCCAUAAAUUGCUUUCAAAACUGUCAGUCUUGAGUGGUGUAGAGGUAGGCGGAAUUCCCGGUGUAGCGGUGGAAUGCGUAGAUAUCGGGAGGAACACCAGUGGCGAAGGCGGCCUACUGGGCACUAACUGACGCUGAGGCUCGAAAGCAUGGGUAGC